CGGCAUGUGUGUGGAGCUGUAUGGUUUUGUACUACUCUUUAGUGGCUUCUUCCCAGUAGCGAUCAGUUUCAUCAGAAGGAUUCCUGUACUCGGGAUGGCGCUGGACCUGCCAGGCAUCAGUACGUUGGUGGCAAAAAUAGGAGACGGGUCCCAUCAGAUGGUGUGACAGUGAACUGGAGGGACAGAGUCGAGAUCAGAAACUGCACUAUUUUCUGCAUCAGGAAGUUCAACGAAAUCAACUGGAGGGGUUAGAACUUCUUACCAAUAUCAGAGAGUUUGCAGUUUUGAAGAUCACCAAAUGCUUGCAUCAAAGGAGGGACUUUUAGUAUACAUCUGUCUAUAUUCAAACAUCCUUUACCAAGUCAGAGAUAUAUUUGGUGCAGUAGAAGUUGGUGCUCCUCUGUCGGUAGAACAAAUUUACAUUGAUACUUGUCCCCAUGACACAAGCAGUUUUGUGGUCUAGAUCAGCAAAAUUGUGAACUCGACUAGUCUAUUGCCCACUGUUUUUAUGCCAACAUGUGGUUCUUUGUGAAACCAAGAGGAUGCCAAAUAUGGAGAGAAAUGAAAUUGCAAUGACAAACUUCAACGACAGCUGACAAUGUAUUUUCUAUGAUGCCGAACAAAAUCAGUCAGGAAAGUUAGAAGAAGCACCGGGUAUUGCACAUAAAUUUUGUAGAAAUAGUUUUGUUCAUUCUUUGUUAUUUCCGCUGCAAUCUGAAGAAAGAAACUAUUAUUGAUGUUAAACACAUGUAGCUGCAUCGUGUGUGAAUAACAAAGUAACGGUAACAGUUUAACAUUUCUUGUGGGUUACAUGUAGCAGUUUUGGUUGUCAGUCUUACAUUGCCUUCCUUUGAGAACAAAUCAGUUCGUGAAAAUGUAUCAAUAUAUUUAUGUCAGAAGAACGAGCAACAUUUUUGUGUCAAACACUGUAAUCUCCAAGCAGAUGUUGGGGGUCAAGUAUUAUGAUUUUCGAACCCAAUAUCUACUUGGAGAUUAAAACACGGUCAUUUCAAAUUAAAAAUUGAAAAGUCAACUUUGAGUCCGUGAUAUGAUGUGUAAAGUCUUAAAGAAUAUACUAUUAGAUGUUUUAGUUUGAUGGACUUUUAAGUUCUAGAUACACCUUGCUUUGCUAAUUAGAUAUGAUCAGUUACGUUCAAGCUACUUUAACAUCAUGUUUACGCUUCAGUGAAUUCUUCCAAACUGCUCCAAAAAUGUUGCAAAUUAUUUUGAACAAAACUAGAAUAUUCAAGGCACAUUAUUUGAUGGUGGUUUCACUGACUUAAGCUGUGACAUAUCUAAUCCGUCAGCCUUUGGUGUGUUGGUCGAGUAAGAAUUGUCGGAGCUUUUUGUCUUGUUUGUCCUGUGUAUUUAUGACUAGAAGGAUGUCUGUUAGGAAAUAAAGAGAGAAAAUGACCUGAUAUGUUGAAGAUGUAGCAAGCUUACAUGUAUCUUGUUGAGGAUUAUGUUUGUUGCGAAUGUGGAGGUAUUGAAACGUUUUAGAUACAUGAAAUGCGAAGGUGUAAAAAAAGUGAAUUGUCAUGAGCUGUAUUGUACUCAGGCCAUAAAGUUCAAUUCUCUGGCUUUAUGGUCUGACAAGAUUCUUGGCUUUCCUGGAUUUUUGUAAAACAAAAAAUGUAAUAAACCACCUGCAAUUUGCCAUUGGAA